CAACCUGUUUCUCCUUUUUUCAGCUGAUAGGGUUUUAUUUAAUUAACUUUUGUAUCUCUUCUAGGGGAUGUCUAAUCUUAAUGAAGUGAGAAUUCCCGUCGUAUCUCCCCCGCAACAACAGAUAAUGCAGCAGCUGCAGGAAAUGCUUCAAAUGAAGGAAAAUAUGAGAAUAAUGAUCAAAGCGUAAAUGAAGACCCAAUUAAAACAUUGUACAAAGCGGCAUUGAAAAAUGACUGGGAAACAGCUUAUGAUAAAGUUUUCAACAGAAAUCCGGCGAAAAAUUCAAAAUAUUUAACACCUAGGAUAUCUGAAAAUGGGGGCACCGCACUUCACAUUGCAGUUGCAGCAGAGUCCUUUACUUUCGCCCAAAACCUUGUAAAAUACAUGAAGAAAGACGAUUUGGCUAUUCAAAAUAGUGACGGCGAUACUGCAUUUUUUCUUGUUGCUGCAUACGAAAAGGUGGGAGUUGCCAAGGCGAUGUUUAGGAAGAAUAAUUAUCUACCAGGUAUACACGGCCGUAGAGUCCAGAAGAAGUUACCGAUUCAUAUCGCAGCUCAGUAUGGCUGUGAAAAGAUGAGAGAGUAUCUUCAGGGAGUAACGAAAGACAUGACAAAACAGGACAAGGAAAAAUUAAAGGAAUAUCUUGGAAAAUACUUGUUUGCCAGUAGACAAUCCCCCAGCACAACUUGGAUGGCCUACAAGUCGUGUCCCCAUGAAGCCAAACCCAAAAAGAAGGACCUGAUCUAGGUAACGGGUUGCCUUGACCACUUGUCAUGUCUAUUGCUAUUGAUGCAAAAGUUAUUGUUGAGUUUGUUAAGUUUAAUUUUACAAAUCACAUUGGAUUAGUCAAAAUUUUCUUCUUUCUUUUUUUUGUGUGUGCUUCACUCAUAAAUAUAAAUUUGUAAUUUCAGUGGUAAACAUCUUCAUUGAUAAUAAUGAAUGUUAAAAUACAUCAAACUCACAGAUUGGCUAGAAUCAAAGUGGGUUAACUUUGAACAAGACCUAUAGAAUUUAACUGACUCAAAUCCAAUUAUAAAGAUCGACUCAUACUUUACUUAUUCCAUCUUAACUCGAUUCAAGCUCUACCAACAAAUAAUAAGAAAUCAAUAUACAAAGUAACAACUAAACAGCAAGGGAAAAUAGCCCUAAUGGAUGAAUCCAGCCCCAUUCAUUUUUUACAGUUUACUCUGAAGCUUCCCCAACUGUGAUUGCCUGGCUGUGACUCCUUGGAGAUACUCCUUCAAGCUGUGCGACUCAGGAAAUAGAAGAAGGAGGAAGAUCAGUAACGAUGUCCAAUCUGUUUUCAAUGCGCAGGAGAUGAAGAUUGCUGAGUGCAUUGAACACUUUCCUGAAUCCUUCGUUUCCAACCUUGGGGCUGGCGAAGACAAAGGCCGUGACCAUGCAUGCUUUGUUCGAACCUGUGCGCUUAUUGUAUUGAUUGGUAACUAUAUCAGUUGCGUUCAAUGUUGCAAGAGCUGCACCGAGACUGUGACCUGCUACUGUUAUACUGAUUUCCUCUUUCCUGUACUCGGGCUUGUUCACCAGAUUCUUAACAGCAUUCAGCACCUACGUAAAUGUACCAUAAUAGAAAUACAUAUCAAGAAAAAAGAAAAUGAAGAAAUCAGUAAAUUAUUUUGAUUUAAU